rnacentral:rRNA from 1 species
GAUGAACGCUGGCGGCGUGCCUAAUACAUGCAAGUCGAACGCUGGAAAUCUAGCUUGCUAGAUUGAAGGAGUGGCGAACGGGUGAGUAAUACAUAAGCAACCUACCCACGAAGACUGGGAUAAUCUCUGGAAACGGGGACUAAUACCGGAUAGGUAAUCGGAAGGCAUCUUCUGAUUAUUAAAGGUUAAAAACACUGGUGGAUGGGCUUAUGGCGCAUUAGUUAGUUGGUGAGGUAACGGCCCACCAAGACGAUGAUGCGUAGCCGGCCUGAGAGGGUGAACGGCCACAUUGGGACUGAGACACGGCCCAGACUCCUACGGGAGGAAGCAGUAGGGAAUUUUCGGCAAUGGGGGAAACCCUGACCGAGCAACGCCGCGUGAGUGAUGACGGCCUUCGGGUUGUAAAGCUCUGUUGUAAGGGAAGAACGGUAGAUAGAGAAUAUCUAAAUGACGGUACCUUACCAGAAAGCCACGGCUAACUACGUG